rnacentral:lncRNA from 1 species
UGCAAGUGUGCAACCCAGUCACAAGACAUCACUAAAAGCUACCUGCUUCGUUUCGUGGGCAAGCUCCUCUGCUCCAGCCUCUUCCAUGGCGUCCCGUUCCGCUUUGAUCGCGCUGCUCGUCGUCGUCAGCUGCGCCGCCGCGGCCUCGGCGGCCACCUACAACGUCGGUGAGACGCAGGGGUGGAGCCUAGGCGUCGACUACAGCACCUGGGUUACUGGCAAGAACUUCUCGGUCGGAGACAAGCUAGGUGCGUACUCUGUCCUCGGCAAGCUGCUAUUUACUCGCUCGGCCUCGUGCUUGCUCUUCUCGUCUGAAAUCACACACUUCACCGUUAACUUGUUCAUCAUGUAAUGAAGAGAUAAUUACACUGAAAAAAAAAGCAUCCAUGGCAUCUCUUUUUGGAAUGGCAAGGUGAUUGAUAAUUCAAUGGAUUUUUCAAGUAACAUUUCUUCUCUGUUUGCUAAGCACUCUCGAAACCUGCAGUGACAAAUAGCAAAGCCGUUUCUUCACUUUUUAGAAGUAAUCGUGGGGAAUUGUGUACUGGGUUUUUAAUCCAAUCGUUUUUUUUCCCGUCCCCUCCUGCAGUGUUCACCUACGCCACCGGGAACCACGACGUGCUGGUGGUCUCCAAGAGCGACUACGAUGCCUGCAACAAAGGCAACGCCCUGAGUACCCAAACCGACGGCCCGACCACCAUCACCCUCGACUCCGCCGGCGACCACUACUACAUCUGCGGCAUCGGCACCCACUGCAGCGGCGGCAUGAAGCUCGCCGUCAACGUCGGCUCCGGCUCCGGCUCCGGCGGCGCCCCCACCCCCUCGACGCCGUCCACACCCGGCACCCCCACGACCCCCGGCACCCCCAGCACCCCGGCCCCCGGGAACGCCGCGUCCGCACGCUACACGGCCGCGCCCGCUCUCGCCGUGGCCGCCGGCGUGCUCCUCAAGCUCGCCCUGUUCUGAUGAUCACCACCACCGCCGCCGAGACGCACGGCGCGGCCUGGCUAUUUUGCGUGGCCAGGGUAGAGGCAGUGCAGGACUAUUCUUGAGCUUUGUUUUCUGAUCAGCCGGGCAUGUACCUACUGUUGAUGC